rnacentral:rRNA from 1 species
GACGAACGCUGGCGGCGUGCUUAACACAUGCAAGUCGAACGGAAAGGCCCUGCUUUUGUUGGGUGCUCGAGUGGCGAACGGGUGAGUAACACGUGAGUAACCUGCCCUUGACUUUGUGAUAACUUCAGGAAACUGGGGCUAAUACCGGAUAGGAUCUCCUGCUGCAUGUGGUUGGUUGGAAAAUUUCGGCGGUUGUGGAUCGACUCGAUGCUUAUCAGCUGGUUGGGGUGGUAGUUGCUGUCGAGGGCUUUGACGGGUAGCCUGCAUGAGAGGGUUGCCGGCCACAUUGGGACUACGAUACGGACCAGACUCGUACGGGAGGCAGCAGUGGGGAAUAUUGCACAAUGGCCGGGAGCCUGAUGCAGAAACGCCGCGUGCGGGAUGCCGGCCUUCGGGUUGUAAACCGAUUUCGCAUGUGACGAAGCGUGAGUGACGGUAAUGGGUAAAGAAGCAACGGCUAACUACGUG